UACAGAGGGUGCGAGCGUUAAUCGGAAUUACUGGGCGUAAAGCGCACGUAGGCGGCUUGGUAUGUCGGGUGUGAAAUCCCCGGGCUCAACCUGGGAACUGCAUCCGAAACUGCCUUGCUAGAGUAUGGGAGAGGGAAGUGGAAUUUCCGGUGGAGCGGUGAAAUGCGUAGAGAUCGGAAAGAACACCAACGGCGAAAGCACUCUGCUGGGCCGACACUGACACUGAGAGACGAAAGCUAGGGGAGCGAAUGGG
rnacentral:rRNA from 1 species